UACGGAGGGGGCUAGCGUUGUUCGGAAUUACUGGGCGUAAAGCGCACGUAGGCGGCUUUGUAAGUUAGAGGUGAAAGCCCGGGGCUCAACUCCGGAAUUGCCUUUAAGACUGCAUCGCUAGAAUUGUGGAGAGGUAAGUGGAAUUCCGAGUGUAGAGGUGAAAUUCGUAGAUAUUCGGAAGAACACCAGUGGCGAAGGACGACUUACUGGACACAUAUUGACG
rnacentral:rRNA from 1 species